rnacentral:misc_RNA from 1 species
UCGUGGGGCUUCGGCCCUCUCGAGAUAGAACCCUUGCCUUUUUGAGUACCUUCGUUUCCUCGGCAGGCUCGCCUGCCAAUGGGGACCCCAAUAAACCCUUUGUAAUACCUGUAAUCGUCUGACAAAACAAACAAAAAUUA